rnacentral:rRNA from 1 species
AGUGAACGCUGGCGGUAGGCCUAACACAUGCAAGUCGAACGGCAGCACAGUAAGAGCUUGCUCUUACGGGUGGCGAGUGGCGGACGGGUGAGGAAUACAUCGGAAUCUACUUUUUCGUGGGGGAUAACGUAGGGACACUUACGCUAAUACCGCAUACGACCUACGGGUGAAAGCAGGGGAUCUUCGGACCUUGCGCGAUUGAAUGAGCCGAUGUCGGAUUAGCUAGUUGGCGGGGUAAAGGCCCACCAAGGCGACGAUCCGUAGCUGGUCUGAGAGGAUGAUCAGCCACACUGGAACUGAGACACGGUCCAGACUCCUACGGGAGGCAGCAGUGGGGAAUAUUGGACAAUGGGCGCAAGCCUGAUCCAGCCAUACCGCGUGGGUGAAGAAGGCCUUCGGGUUGUAAAGCACUUUUGUUGGGAAAGAAAAGCAGCAGGUUAAUACCCCGCUGUUCUGACGGUACCCAAAGAAUAAGCACCGGCUAACUUCGUG